AGCCUAGUGGUUAAGGCUAUGGAUCACCAAUCCGGAGACGGCGGGUUCGAUUCCCGU
rfam:Aedes albopictus isolate Foshan contig49218, whole genome shotgun sequence.